GUGAAUCAUCGAAUCUUUGAACGCACAUUGCACUCUCUGGUAUUCCGGAGAGUAUGCUUGUUUGAGUAUCAGUAAACACCUCAAAUCUCUUUUUUAUUAAAGAGAAUUGGACUUGAGCAAUCCCAACUCUUUGCAAAAAGGGGCGGGUUGCUUGAAAUGCAGGUGCAGCUGGACAUUCUUCUGAGCUAAAAGCAUAUUUAUUUAGUCCCGUCAAACGGAUUAUUACUUUUGCUCUAGCUAAUAUAAAGGUCGAAUGUGCUAUAUGCUGACUGAUGCAGGAUUACCAAGUUUUACUAGCUA
rnacentral:misc_RNA from 1 species